GAUGAACGCUGGCGGCGUGCCUAAUACAUGCAAGUCGAGCGGACGGACGCGAAGUUUGCGUCUCUGUCGUUAGCGGCGCACGGGAGAGUAACACGUGUAUAACCCACCUAAAAGACUGGGAUAAUUUCGGGAAACCGGAGCUAAUACGGGAUAAUAUCUUGCACCGCAGGGUUCAAAGGUGAAUGACGGUCUUGCUGUCUCUUCUAGAUGGAUCCCGGCUGCAUUGUCUAGUUGGUAAGUUCAAGGCUUACCAAGGGAACUAUGCAUAGCCGACCUGACAGGGUGAUCGGCCACACGAGAACUGAAACACGCUCAAUAGUCCUACGGUAGGCAGCAGUAGGGUAUCUUCCGCAAUGGGCGGAAGCAUUACGGAACAACGCCGAGUGAGUUAUGACGGUCUUCGGAUCGUAAAACUCUGUUUUGGGGUGAAAACAGAUGUGUAAUUAGCUGAGCAGAUCUUGACGGUACUUAAUCAGAAAGCCACGGCUAACUACGUG
rnacentral:rRNA from 1 species